AAAGACUGCUUUACUCAUGAGGACAACUGAGAGUGAAAAGAGGCAUUAUUUUGUUGAGACUUUUCAAUCAUCAUGAUGUCGAUGGCACUGUCUACAAAACUAUCACCACUGGAUUGCCCCUCUUCAGCGGGCAAGGCAGCAGCAGCACUAAUAGGUGGUGUCCCAAUCCUGUAGCGCUCUGGUGAGUGGGGAUAUUGAGAUGAAUCAUUGCCCUAUUAGACCAACUAAAAGUCCACAGGAUAAAAAUUGUAAUCUUGGUCCGCCACUUGAUUAAUGGUUAACGUCAUGACUAUUGUAGUGUUGAUAGCUCAGAUAUGUUGAGAUAAUUUUUGCUCUUCAAAAUGAGAAAACACAUGACAUUGCUGAAC
rnacentral:lncRNA from 1 species